UGGGGAAUAUUGGGCAAUGGGCGAAAGCCUGACCCAGCAACGCCGCGUGAUUGAAGAAGGUCUUCGGAUUGUAAAGAUCUGUCCUAUGGGAAGAAACAAAUGACGGUACCAUAGGAGGAAGCCCCGGCUAACUACGUGCCAGCAGCCGCGGUAAUACGUAGGGGGCGAGCGUUGUCCGGAAUUACUGGGCGUAAAGGGUGCGUAGGCGGUUUUUUAAGUCAGAUGUGAAAUACCCGGGCUUAACCUGGGGGGUGCAUCUGAUACUGGGGAACUUGAGUGCAGGAGAGGAAAGUGGAAUUCCUAGUGUAGCGGUGAAAUGCGUAGAUAUUAGGAGGAACACCAGUGGCGAAGGCGACUUUCUGGACUGUAACUGACGCUGAGGCACGAAAGCGUGGGGAGCAAACAG
rnacentral:rRNA from 1 species